rnacentral:rRNA from 1 species
AUUGAACGCUGGCGGCAUGCCUUACACAUGCAAGUCGAACGGUAACAGGUCUUCGGAUGCUGACGAGUGGCGAACGGGUGAGUAAUACAUCGGAACGUGCCCGAUCGUGGGGGAUAACGAGGCGAAAGCUUUGCUAAUACCGCAUACGAUCUACGGAUGAACGCGGGGGAUCUUCGGACCUCGCGCGGACGGAGCGGCCGAUGGCAGAUUAGGUAGUUGGUGGGAUAAAAGCUUACCAAGCCGACGAUCUGUAGCUGGUCUGAGAGGAUGAUCAGCCACACUGGGACUGAGACACGGCCCAGACUCCUACGGGAGGCAGCAGUGGGGAAUGUUGGACAAUGGGCGAAAGCCUGAUCCAGCCAUGCCGCGUGCAGGAUGAAGGCCUUUGGGUUGUAAACUGCUUUUGUACGGAACGAAAAGCCUCUUUCUAAUAAAGAGGGGUCAUGACGGUACCGUAAGAAUAAGCACCGGCUAACUACGUG